UACGGGGGGAGCAAGCGUUGUUCGGAUUUACUGGGCGUAAAGGGCGCGUAGGCGGCCACCGCAAGUCGACUGUGAAAUCUCCGGGCUUAACCCGGAAAGGUCAAUCGAUACUGCAGGGCUAGAGUGCAGAAGGGGCAACUGGAAUUCUCGGUGUAGCGGUGAAAUGCGUAGAUAUCGAGAGGAACACCUGCGGCGAAGGCGGGUUGCUGGGCUGACACUGACGCUGAAGCGCGAAAGCUAGGGGAGCGAACGGG
rnacentral:rRNA from 1 species